rnacentral:rRNA from 1 species
CCUACGGGAGGCAGCAGUAGGGAAUCUUCCACAAUGGGCGAAAGCCUGAUGGAGCAACGCCGCGUGGGUGAAGAAGGUCUUCGGAUCGUAAAACCCUUUUGGUAGGGAAGAAAGUGCGUUAGAGGAACUCUUCACGUGUCGACGGUAUCUAACCAGAAAGCCACGGCUAACUACGUGCCAGCAGCCGCGGUAAUACGUAGGUUGCAAGUGUUAUCCGGAUUUGUUGGGCGUAAAGGGAACGCAGGCGGUCUUUUAAGUCUGAUGUGAAAGCCGUGGGCUUAACCGGAGUAGUGCAUUGGAAACUGGGAGACUUGAGUGCAGAAGAGGGGAGUGGAACUCCAGGUGUAGCGGUGAAAUGCGUAGAUAUAUGGAAGAACACCAGUGGCGAAGGCGGCUCUCUGGUCUGUGACUGACGCUGAGGUUCGAAAGCGUGGGUAGCAAACAGGAUUAGAUACCCUAGUAGUC